AGUUUCAGAAAAAGAAAAGUUAAAGAAAAGAGGAGAAUGCUGGGUGAGGCUCAAAGAGCUUCAAUGACUUGCCUCAGAAAUGACAGGAUGGACCUUGUGUAACCCAGUGAUGUAUUCAUAAUCGACAGUUGCCAAGUUGAUGCUCCAUUAUUACCUUGAGUUUUGAUGAUCCUUUGAUAUGCCAUGACCCAACAGAGAUAAGGUGUCCUGGGAGUGGAGAAAGGGCAGUUUCAUACAUGUUGUCAGCAUGUCACAUGUUUUUUCAAUAUUUAAGGAAGGAAUCUGGAGAAACAGGAAUCUGGAGUUGAAUUCCUCUAUGGUCAGAUGGUAUCAUGACCUCAUCAUUGGCGUUUCCUCUCCAGGAAUGGAACAUUGAAGAGAGGAAAGAAUCAUAGACUUUGUUUGUAUCCUGCCAACCCUCAACAGAACAGACUGCAAUAGGGGAGGAAUGGACGUAACCACUAACAGUAAAUAACUCUUCUCCAGGAAGCAUUUCCAAAGAAGUCCAUCACACCUUUGUUCUUGGCAAACAUCCUCACUUUUCUGGUUUGCUUUGAAAAGCAACAGGCAGCAUGUACACAACAAACGUCACCCAGGAAAUAGGCAAGCAGUAAGUGUCAUGGAUUCCUCUAUUUGCUCAGUUCUUACAGAAAAUCUUAUACAUGGACUAGCAAACUGCACAAGGACAUUAUUUGUCUUGCCCAAACCCUGCAGUUGGUGUUGUCUUUCUUCUCCUGGUGCAGGCCGAUGUCCUAGUCCACCCAUACAGCUUUUUCUCCUCCAUGAGUCCUGUUCUGUUUCUACUAGUACUUCCUGAGCCAUAUUGUGUCCCUUACUACUGGUGAGCUCUAGCUAAAUUAUGGAUCCCAUGACAACAACAUGGGCUAACUACAGCCUUUUUACAUAUUUAAAGACAGAGUCUAAGGAAGAACAAAAACAACUUUUUACAAUGAGAUUCAUAACUAAAGAUGCAUUUCAAUGACUUCUCCUGCCUCUACCACCACAAAUACGGCAGAUUUAGUGCCUUAGUUACAUCAUAAUUGCUCAGGAAAAAGCAGACUGACAUUUCAACUGCUUGUUAGCUACAACUAUAGAGACUUGAACUUUGUUUUUCUAUAUAAAGGGCUACAUUCACUAUCUGUUUUAAUUCUCAAUUUAAUUUGAGCUGGAAUCACAUAUGAUGUCAAAUAAAGAAGGUCAGGUGUGGUGGCUCACGCCUAUAAUCCCAGCACUUUGGGAGUCUGAGGUGGGUGAAUCACCUGAGAUCAGGUGUUCGAGACAAGCCUGGGCAACAUGGUGAAACCCUGUCUCUACUAAAAGUACAAAAAUUAGAUGGGUGUGGUGGCUCAUGCCUGCAGUCCCAGCUACUCAGAAGGCUAAGACAGGAGAAUUGCUCAAACCUGGAAGGUGGAGGUUGCAGUGAGCCAAGAUCGUGCCACUGUACUCCAGCCUGGGCAACAGAGCAAGACUCUGUCUCACAAAAAAAAAAAAAAAAAAAAAAAAGCAAAAAUGAUCCAGGAAGAGCAACAAAGAAUUUGAUUUAUAGUCCUGGGUUUAAUUUCCCAGUAAAAUAGUACAAGCUAUUUUAUGAUGGCAUACUUGGAAAGCCAUGAACCUAGACACAGGUACACUGUAUAAACUCAGUGUGACCUUGCCAAAAGACGCCAAAAUGGAAAGUAAAGAGGUUCGGACUAGUGAACCUCACUUGUACAAGAGAUGAGAAUAGCCAAAUACAUAGGAUCUAACAAAUAAACUAGAAUUAGAGAAUCUUGUUUGAAAAGAAAAUAAAUCUUGGGGCCCCAAAAUCACUAAGCUAAAGGGAAAAUCAAGCUAGGAACUGUUUAGGGCAAACCUGCCUCAUAUUCUAUACAAAGUCGCCCCUCUGCUCACUGAGAUAAAUGCAUAUCUGAUUGCCUUCUUUGGAGAGGCUAAUCAGAAACUCAAAAUAAUGCAACCAUUUGUCUCUUUUCUACCGAUGACCUGGAAGCCCCCUCCCCACUUCAAGUUGUCCCUCCUUUGCUUCAAGAUGGAACCAAUGUUCAUAUUACAUAUGUUGAUUGAUGUCUCAUGUCUCCCGAAAAUGUAUAAAAUCAAACUGUGCUCUGACCACCUAGGGGAAAUGUCGUCAGGACCUUCUGAGGCUGUGUCAUGUGUGCAUGUCCUCACUUUGUCAAAAUAAACUUUCUAAAUUAACUGAGACCUCCCUCAGAUAUUUGGGGUUCACACCAGCUUUUCUUUGUUCUGACUUUUAACUGUAUUGUUUUUGGGCAGGGCAAUUUAUACAUUUCCUAUGGGGUCUCCAUACUACUGUAUUUCUUGUAGUAUGGUUAAAGGUACUUGAAAUAACUUCAACAUGGAAAAUGGAAUCUUGACACCUAUGAGUAAAAUAAAUGCAGGCACCUUUUGUCUGUGAGUUUCAAUGAGCAGAUGAGAAGGGAUUCUCUAGCCCAUGGAGAAUAAGGGUUAGAGUAUCAGCCUAUGAGAGUCAAGUGGGGAGUCAAGAACUUUGUGUUUCCAGGUGGCCAGCAACACUUCCCCUUUCUCCUCUUCUCCAAAGGAGUUUUGGGUUAGUCUUACCUGGUUAGGAGAGGGAUAGCAAUUUUGUCAAGCAGUUCUGAUAGCUGUAAUAGCAAAAGGACAGAAUACGGUGAUUACCUAUUACCUCAGGUUGCCCUGGAGAGGAGAUUCAAGGACUGUCUCUUUUAUGAAUCAUAUUUGAGUAGCUCUGGGUAUUAUUGAGAAUGGCCUUGCAUUAACUACUCAAGGGACUUAUGUAUAAGUAACAACCAACCACUUUAAUGAUAGCAUCUUGAACAGGUGACACUCUUACAUUUUAAAUACGUUUUGCACUUAAUCUAAACUGAUUAUAAAAUCACAUCAUUAUGUUUAUAUAUUUAGGCUACAGAUUUCAGCUCAUUUCAGAAAUAAUCGGGUUAAAAAGAGAGAACUUUUGAUAGAAGUGAAAAAGGACAUUUUGGGGUGUGGUUCUCAUGCACCUAAAGGCGAUUUUGGGGAGAUCAUCCUACCAAAAUGGAAAUUUGGAAAAGGAAAGAAGAAAGCUCACAUAUUAAUAUUUUGAAACAUUAGUAUUGUACAGAUUUCCAAGGGCAGAGAAUAUGAUUUGUCUGCAUACCUCUAGAUGGAAAGUUCAAUACUCAAUAGAAGUAAUUAAAUAACUGGAAUCACAAAUAAAGGAAGACGACACUCACGCCAUGGAAGGAGAUUUUCCUUUCUUUCUUGGCCUUCCUACUUUAACUUCUGCCUUCCCUUUGUACAACGGAAAAUCUCUCAUCCCGUACCCUUCCAUCCUACCCCAGACCUAAAUGUGCCUUACCUUUUGAGAAGAUCUGUCAGAGGUGUUCUAUUCAAGAACAACUCCAUCUUGAAUAGAAGCUGGGCAACAUAAUGCUGAGACCUACUGGGUUGCAUUCCCAGAUGGUUAAGGCAUUCUAAGUCACAGGAUGAGAUAGGAGGUUGGCACAAGAUACAGGUCAUAAAGACCUUGCUGAUAAAACAUUGCGGUAAAGAAGCUGGCUAAAACCCCCAAAACCAAGGUGACCAUGAGAGUGACCUCUGGCUGUCCUCACUGCUACAUUCCCAUCAGUGCCAUGAUAGUUUACAAAUGCCAUGGCAAGGUCAGGAAGUUAUGCUAGAUGGUCUAAAAGGGGAGGUAUGACUAACCCACCCCUUGUUUAACAUAUCAUCAAGAAAUAACCAUAAAAAUGCGCAACCAGCAGUUCUUGGGGCUGCUCUGUCUAUAGAAUAGCCAUUCUUUUAUUUAUUUACUUUCCUAAUAAACUUGCUGUCACUUUAUGGACUCAUCUUGAAUUCUUUCUUGUGCGAGAUCCAGGAACCCUCUCUUGGGGUCUGGAUUGGAACCUCUUUCCCAUAACAGUUCCAGAACCUGCAAGGUAAGGAUGAGGUCGCAUAAAAGCUUCGGAAGUUGGAAGUUGGAGAAAUUUGGCUUUGAAUCUUGUUUUAAAGAUAGGGGCUCGCAAAUAGAAAACUAAGUCAGAAAGGAGGCAAAUGCAAGAUCAUUCACAGGAGAACUUCCUAUGUGAAAUCAAAAGACAACAAAUGAUGUUGGGUAGGAGCAAGAAUCCAAGUGACCAGAGGGACAAAAUGUGACUUGGGGUGGUUGUGAGAAAAAAAAAUCUGUUCAACAAGAAUAUAGACUCAGAGAGAGAGGGGGAUACACUUUCUUCUGUGAAGAUGAAAUGUGUAAGCAGAGGGUAGAGGCUAAUGGGAAAAGACAUCUUCCUGGGAUGCUUGUCUCUGUACUCUUCAAGGGUUAUCUUGCUCUGGGCAUUUAUAAUGGCUUUUCUCCAUUUUCUCCAGUGAAGUCCAGUUUUCUAAUCAACUCUCAUGUCAAUCCUAUAUCUUUUUCAUCUGCCUUAAGGAUUCCUUGCAUGUGCGAGCAGGAAAGUCUUUGAGAUUCUUUAACACAGUCAACUAACAAAUGGGAAAACUAAGGAUCUGGUCAAAUAAGUGACUUAUUGUCACUAGAAACAGUUGUGGCAAACAUUUUUAACAAAUCCAAAUUUUCUUAGUCUUAUUCCAGUUUUCUUUUUAGCGUGCCAGGCUGCUUCCAGUUAUUUCAUUUCUCCUCCUUCUGAGAACUCUGUGUGUGUGCACAUGUGCAUUUGUAUAUGUUGGUCUCUUAUGUAUAUGUUAAUAAGGAUGGUUAUCUAAGGGACAAAAUUACUCAGUAAGAUAUGAAAAGGCUUCUAAGAUAUAUUUUGAAGGUUAAUAUAACUGCCAAAUGUGUUCAAAUGGAUUUUAAUUUACUCUUUAACAAUUUAUUUGCCUCUGUCUGUCCCCUUGGAGCAAUGCCAUCAAAUAGAAAUAUAAUGAGAGUCACAAAUACAAGUUGCGUAUGUAAUUUUAAAUUUUCAAGUAGUUACAUUUAAAAAGCAAGAUGAGCAAAAUUAAUUUUAAUAAUGUUUUUCUUAGCUUAAUAUACCCAAAAUAUUAUCAUUUUAACCUGUAUUCUAUAAAGAAGUUAUUAUGCGAGUUUUAUAUUUUCUCACAAUGAGUCUUCAAAGCUGGUGUGUAUUUUACAUUUUUAGCUCAUCUAAAUUUAGAAUAGCCACAUUUAAGGUGUUCAACAGCCAUAUCUGGUUAGUAGCUACCCUAUCAGGCCUUAGAGUAUAAUUGUUUAGGCACAGCCCUUAUUCAGUCACAAAAAUCGUAGCCAUUGCCCAUUUAAUAGCUAUUAUUUUGGUACCAGA
rnacentral:lncRNA from 1 species